CUCCACCAGCUGCGGUCUGGGCGCCGUCUGGAGGACCUUGGUUUGCAGUACUGGCUCCGAAUCGGACUGCGAUCAGACCAAGAGGCCUGCGCCUGCCCGACAGUGCUACCUGAGGCCGUGCUCCACGUGGAAGGUCGGGGAGUGGAGUAAGUGCACCAAGAACUGUGAAGGCGGAAUGAGAUUCAGAGAGGUCCAGUGUUUUGACCUGAGAAACCAACGACCUCUGCGACCUUUCCACUGCCGGGCCAUGUUCACCAGACCGUUGACACAAAUGCCCUGCAACGUUCAGACAUGCCUUGACUGGUACACUUCCUCCUGGGGCCAGAAUCCAACCAGCUCCAAGUCCGGUGGUCGAGCAAAAUCUGACAUGUUGUGAGAGCAGUCUGAUAAUCGGUGGAGAGCAGCAAACUGUCCAAAAGUAAGCUAUUUCAAAGUCCUCUGGCUCCUGGCAUUGCUCUGCAGAAAAGUGUGGAAUCAAACCACAAGAGAAACUCGGAGUUUCCAUGAGCCGCUGCACUUGUCCUCAGCACAAUGGCCUUGUUAGGGCUUUGACAGCAAACACCUGGAAAAAGACCCGUCUGAGGUCCUUCACU